GAUGAACGCUGGCGGCGUGCCUAAUACAUGCAAGUAGAACGCUGAAGCUUGGUGCUUGCACCGAGCGGAUGAGUUGCGAACGGGUGAGUAACGCGUAGGUAACCUGCCUCUUAGCGGGGGAUAACUAUUGGAAACGAUAGCUAAUACCGCAUAAAAGUCGAUAUCGCAUGAUGUUGACUUGAAAGGUGCAAUUGCAUCACUAAGAGAUGGACCUGCGUUGUAUUAGCUAGUUGGUGAGGUAACGGCUCACCAAGGCGACGAUACAUAGCCGACCUGAGAGGGUGAUCGGCCACACUGGGACUGAGACACGGCCCAGACUCCUACGGGAGGCAGCAGUAGGGAAUCUUCGGCAAUGGGGGCAACCCUGACCGAGCAACGCCGCGUGAGUGAAGAAGGUUUUCGGAUCGUAAAGCUCUGUUGUAAGAGAAGAACGAGUGUGAGAGUGGAAAGUUCACACUGUGACGGUAACUUACCAGAAAGGGACGGCUAACUACGUGCCAGCAGCCGCGGUAAUACGUAGGUCCCGAGCGUUAUCCGGAUUUAUUGGGCGUAAAGCGAGCGCAGGCGGUUAGAUAAGUCUGAAGUUAAAGGCUGUGGCUUAACCAUAGUACGCUUUGGAAACUGUUUAACUUGAGUGCAGAAGGGGAGAGUGGAAUUCCAUGUGUAGCGGUGAAAUGCGUAGAUAUAUGGAGGAACACCGGUGGCGAAAGCGGCUCUCUGGUCUGUAACUGACGCUGAGGCUCGAAAGCGUGGGGGAGCAAACAGG
rnacentral:rRNA from 1 species